rnacentral:rRNA from 1 species
GACGAACGCUGGCGGCGUGCUUAACACAUGCAAGUCGAACGGUGAAGCGCCUUCCUUUUUGGUGGGUGUGGAUGAGUGGCGAACGGGUAAGUAACACGUGAGUAACCUGCCCCCUUCUUCUGGAUAACCGCAUGAAAGUGUGGCUAAUACGGGAUAUUCUGGGUCUGUCGCAUGAUGGGUCUGGGAAAGAUAUUGUUUCGGUGGGGGAUGGGCUCGCGGCCUAUCAGCUUGUUGGUGGGGUGAUGGCCUACCAAGGCGGUGACGGGUAGCCGGCCUGAGAGGGUGGACGGUCACACUGGGACUGAGACACGGCCCAGACUCCUACGGGAGGCAGCAGUGGGGAAUAUUGCACAAUGGGCGCAAGCCUGAUGCAGCGACGCCGCGUGAGGGAUGGAGGCCUUCGGGUUGUGAACCUCUUUCGCCAGUGAAGCAGGCCUGCCUCGUUUGUGGGUGGGUUGACGGUAGCUGGAGAAGAAGCGCCGGCUAACUACGUG